GGGCACGGGCUAUUCUGCACCAGCCUGGAGGAGUGGCCUUGAGCCCGAGGCGUUAUCUGAGCGGGGCUCCUGACCCUGAUCGAGGCUGACAAAGAGGUGGAAUCCUGGCCUAGGAGAGCUGAGAGGCCUCUUGGGGUCCUCCUCCAGUCUGCCCCUAGAGACCCUGAAGGUGGGCAGCACCCUGGGUGCAGCUGAAGCACGGAGCCCGGAGACUUGCACAUACCGCCUAAAGUUUGGUCCCCUGGAUCUGAUCUCAGAAAGUCUGAGAAACACUCAUCUCUCCAUCCGGUGGUUUUCGGGCGGAUCCCCUGACGUCUCUCCAUGCUUCUCCGGAGCUACAGAGGAUGCAGUCGAAUGAGGGGGAAGGACUGAACGGCUGAAACUCAAGCCCUCGUCACCUACUACAGUGCUUAUCCAACUCUUCGGUAUGAAGUGCUGUUCGUGCAUCACUCCUUAUAAUCACUCUGUGAAGUAGCUUCCUCUGAACAUAGAACUUACUUCAUGGAGUUGUUGGAAUGAAAUGAGCUCAUGGAUAUAAAAUGUCUCGCACUGUGCCUGGCGCAUAGUAUGUGUUCAAUAAAUGUCAGCUGUUAUUAUUCACUCCUUCUUGGGAAAUACCAGCGACCCCCAGCUCAGCGUGGGGAUUUGGCGGGAUGAGCUCAUGGAAUGUUCCCCAGUCCCCAGCAGCUCACCGGCUGAAGGAGGAAACAGAGCUGGACUCCGUCUUAGGCCAGGCUAGGUUGCUGAGACCAAGGGUGAUGACAAGUGUGAAUGAAUCGGAGCCUGUCCCCUGUCCCCUCAGAUUCACGUUGGACCAGGCUGUGUGAACACACACCCACUGCACAUGUAGUUGGCUCUCCUGAUGCCUCAGCUCCUUGUUAGCCUGGCCGUCCAGCGGGGAGUGCUGGAGGGCUCAGUGCUCGUAUACUAGAGAUGCCUUGGCAUGAGCCUAGGGUAGAAGUCUUCAUCUGGCUGCAGUGGAAAGAGAUGCUCAUGAAUCUACUUCAGGAGGGCAGGUGGCCUUGUCUCUGGCCCACCAGCUUUGACAGCUGCAUUAUCACUUCCCUUGUGGCUCAGAUGGUACAGAAGUGACAAUAAUGAUGAAGACGAGAAGGAGGAAGAUGUGAUCUGAGUGUCUGACCAAGUAACACCAUGCACUGAUUUGAUGUCAGAAUGAAGUCCCACCAGGACCGCCUUCUGAAAUGGAACUUCCAGAAACAGCAGACAGACUGCUGAUCAGCAAUCCCAGAAAAAGAAAAGCCGCCCAUAGACCAGCCAGGCCUCUGAUCACACGAAUGAAUGCUACGUUUCCAAAGAAACUGAAAUCAGCAUGGAAAAUUUCUCUUACAGAAAGAUUCGAGCUCCUGGUAUACCUGGUUACCUAAUGAAAAGGAAUCAUUCCCCCUCCCCGCAAACAAUGUUCACCAAUACUGGCUCAUGUGAUUUUCAUAAUGACCCGAGGUUGUGGGCUGUGGAUACAGGCUAUGAAAACGUUCUUCCGCAUUUUCUUGUUGGGCAUAGAGACGCCCAUGUGACCUUGCAUCUCAGUGCAUGUGGCUAGUGAAUGAUGGAGGCAAGCCUGGACCUUCUGGUCACUCCUGGGCAGUGUUCUGUCACCCCAUCCUGCCUUUACAAACUGGAGGGAGGCCACCUAAGUAGCAAUCCAUUUAUUUUUCUUUCAGAGAGAAAUGUAUCUUUAAAAAAAAUAACAAUAAAGAUCAAAAAAUUCAUCUAAAUCAACAUGAAGAGGUAUUUUGGUUAUAUUUUAUAAUAAUUCAAAGAUAUUUUUAAAAUGUAAGAAAACUGAGGGGGCAGAGGAAAGUAGAGAC